AUCCGGUAAAUCAAUUUGGGCUUUUUAGAGCAUCUAUCAAAGGAUAUUUGGGGAUUAGGCUUUGUAUUUGGGUCGGGUUCGGUUUAGGAAUUGUCCACUUUGGUGAUUCGUUUGCCUGGAAUGGAAAUCUCUCCUGUUGUACACGGGGUGAUCAUUCUUUCUGUUGGCUCCUUGACUUUCUUGGCCUUCUUUUAUGCUGCAAUUUUAUCUAACUUGAUUCCACCAUCUCAAAAUCAAUUUGCAGCAGCCAUUCAAAAUGACAGAUAUUAUUGCUUCUUGGUGCCGUUGACCCUUCCGAUUAUUAUUGUUGCGGUUUAUUUUCAUUGGCUUAACAUGAAACUCUUCAAGCAUGCCUGACUCCUUCGCUAAUUUUAGUGGAAAUUUUUUGGUUCUUUAUGUGUGUGAGAAAUCCUGUGAUCCCUCUGUAAGUUGUUUGUUGGAAAAUUGGCCAUUGAAUAGCAUUGUAACAAAAUCAUAGAUAUGUUCUGGCCUUCUGGCCUCUGGGCAUAUAGAAUAUGUUAGUUUUUUUGCUGGCAAAGUAUAGUACUUCAAAUAUACUGUAACAAAAUCAUAGCCAUGUUUCGGCAUAUAGAAGUAAUAUAGUUUAGCAUGUUUUCUUA